GAUGAACGCUGGCGGCGUGCCUAAUACAUGCAAGUAGAACGCUGAAGCUUGGUGCUUGCACCGAGCGGAAGAGUUGCGAACGGGUGAGUAACGCGUAGGUAACCUGCCUCUUAGCGGGGGAUAACUAUUGGAAACGAUAGCUAAUACCGCAUAAAAGUCGACAUUGCAUGAUGUUGACUUGAAAGGUGCAACUGCAUCACUAGGAGAUGGACCUGCGUUGUAUUAGCUAGUUGGUGAGGUAACGGCUCACCAAGGCGACGAUACAUAGCCGACCUGAGAGGGUGAUCGGCCACACUGGGACUGAGACACGGCCCAGACUCCUACGGGAGCAGCAGUAGGGAAUCUUCGGCAAUGGACGGAAGUCUGACCGAGCAACGCCGCGUGAGUGAAGAAGGUUUUCGGAUCGUAAAGCUCUGUUGUAAGAGAAGAACGAGUGUGAGAGUGGAAAGU
rnacentral:rRNA from 1 species